GGAGAAGGGAGCUGAGCUAAUUCUGAAGGUCAUUGUGUCUGGCAUCCAGAGUCUGACGUUCAAGGGUUGGUCACGUGUGAAGCUGACUUCGAUGGGCGCAGUUCUUCAUGAUAUGGAGGAAUGACAAGCAGCCCUCCGAGUGACUGGCCAUGAUAGUGGUGGCAGCAAGAAAAUUGUUUCCAGAUCUAAGACUUCAUUACUCCAGAGGGU